GUGCUUCUCAGCCUGGAUAUACAAACAUGUUUAGCCCUUGGUUUUACUAUUAGUUGACAUUCAAGCAGGUAAAAAAUGUAUAUAUUUUCAGAAACACUCACCAACACCCCUGAGAAGAGAAAUCCAUACAAACAAAGCCUAACAACUUUAUGAAGCUUCAAAGGGGAAGGACUCAUUCACUCGGAACAGUGGUGAAAGUGAUCUGGAUGAUGUCAUAAGAUUCACUCUUUAAGGGGACGAUAUGUUUGGAUGUACACCUCCAAAAACUAACAAUCACACUAAAAACAUCUCUUUUGAAGUGACUGAUUCUAGCACUCCUAGGAGAAAACCCAUUGUAUGUGACAGAGGGAAGAUGCAGGUCUCGCCUCCCGCUGUGAAGUUGCAGUACACUUUGAAGGAGUCCCCGGAGCAUCCCUGGUUGGGAUCGAUGUAGUAUUCACCUGAGAGAAAAAACCCAUCAGACAUCAGUGUCUGGAACGACCACAGAUCACAUGACAACAAUUUCAGAAACUGUUCAAUCUGACAAUGAACGCAAGAUGCCAGCAACAGAGCAAAGACUCACAGGCAAUCCAGGAGGACCAGGUGGACCAAUCGGACCAGAAGCACCACUGAUACCCUACAGUUUAAAGAGCAGAAGGAUUACCCUUGGGUCCAUCAUCUCCAGGGGGUCCUUUGGGACCUGCAGGUCCAGCAGCACCAGGGGGACCAGCUUCACCUUUCUCUCCUCUCUCACCUUUUGGGCCCUGCAUCAUAUAUAACAAAGAUG